AACAAACGCUGGCGGCGUGCCUAAUACAUGCAAGUCGAACGGGGAAAGCUUUCGGGUGAGUACUAGUGGCGCACGGGUGAGUAACGCGUGGAUAAUCUGCCUUAGAGUGGGGGAUAACUAGUCGAAAGAUUAGCUAAUACCGCAUAAGACCACACGAACUGCGGUUCAAGAGGUCAAAGGUUUUUCGCUCUAAGAUGAGUCCGCGUAAGAUUAGCUAGUUGGUGAGGUAACGGCUCACCAAGGCAACGAUCUUUAACUGGUCUGAGAGGAUGAUCAGUCACACUGGAACUGAGACACGGUCCAGACUCCUACGGGAGGCAGCAGUAGGGAAUAUUGCACAAUGGAGGAAACUCUGAUGCAGCGACGCCGCGUGAGUGAUGAAGGCCUUCGGGUCGUAAAGCUCUGUCGCAGGGGAAUAACACAAUGAAUGUACCCUGUAAGAAAGGAUCGGCUAACUUCGUGCCAGCCGCCGCUGUAAGAC
rnacentral:rRNA from 1 species